GGGGGGGGGGGCUUCUCCAAUGGAUUGACAUACAAAACAACACACGCAUUAGAUGCGUCCACGGUGCACCUAAUAUACAAUAUUUCGCGGCAUGGUCUACUCUCCAGAUCCCGUUGAAGACAUAAGAAAUCUAUCCAGGCGCAUGUAGAGGUCCUAUUACCUAUUCCAAAAUUAAAAUAAAUCCUGAAUACAUCACGUAAAAUUAAACAAAAGUUAGAAAGUAACAAAAUACUUCGCAAGAUAAUAAAAAUAACGAAGUAAAACGUUACUUCUUUAAACGACUUCGUUCCAAGUAAAAGUACUCCAAAGAAAGUUUACUUUGUCACAUGCCGACUCAGUCAAAAAUAGAACUCAAGUACAGUAAUGAGGUACCUUUACUUCAUUUUAUUAUGGUAUUUAAUUAGAUUAAAUUUGAUUUUGUUAACAAAGUCAAAGUUUGGUUUCAAAGUUUGUUUUCCGCGUUUUACCCUCUUUUCCGCGUUUUACCCUCUUUUCCGCGUUUUACCCUCUUUUCCGCGUUUUACCCUCUUUUCCGCGUUUUACCCUCUUUUCCGCGUUUUACCCUCUUUUCCGCGUUUUACCCUCUUUUCCGCGUUUUACCCUCUUUUCCGCGUUUUACCCUCUAUUCCGUUUCCGCUUUUCCGGUUCCGCCAUUCCGGUUCCGCCAGUCCGUUCCGUUUCCGCGUUUUACCCCUACCCUGCAUGAGCCAUGGUUGUACUGAAUUACUAAGGAAUGUAGUAUAACUAUAGAGUAUAUAGCGUUUAUAUAGAGCGUCUUUCGUUACGACAGGUAAGAAGAAACAACCCUGUGUCGUUUAGUGUCAGUAUUGACGACCGUUC